GCUAUCUAUUUUUAUCAUUAUACGAAAUGAAUUCCUAGUGUUGUCAGUUGUAUUUUUUUUUUAGAUUUUUUUUUUGCUCUCAUUAAUUUAAAUGUUUUAAUAAAUUUAAUAUUAUUUAAUAUUAAUAUCCGGACUGGCCAUUGUAAUCCAAAUUAUAUAGAUUGUUACCAUUUUUCAAUCUCAAUCGAUUUAGAUUGAACUGAAUCAAGUGCUCAGCACUAGUUUCGAAUGAACGUGAUAAUCUACCGAUAUUAUAUAUUAUACUGUAGUAGUAUUAAAACGGAGAUCUGUCUUAUACACAUUUUCACCGAUAAUGGACGGCAAUGUAUCGGAUGAUGGCGUUUAGAUCUCAAAGCCCAUAUACAAAACUUAUGUAUUAUUGGAGUGAAUUAUAGCAACGCAUUUAGACAUAGUAUAGUCUCUUCAAAUAUUUAAUCUAUUCGCUUUCUUGUCGGUAUAAUACAUUGUGUACUGCGCGUCGUGUUUGGCUCAAUAUUUAUGACCCGGAAAACUUUUCAAGUCCUGUCAAAUAUUUAUCACCUACACAAUAUAUCAAACUCGAAUACAUUGUAAGUACACUUAAUUUACGCAUAUCUAAUUAUAUAGUAUUAUAAUCGAUGUCCACCAGCGGAUGCCACAACGCAAUAAUAAUACGUGUAACCGAUGAAAAUAAUGGAACCUGUACUCUCAAACCCGAAAAGCUCGUGUAAAAACUCGUCAACGUACUCGGUAGAGGCGUGCUUAUAGUGAAAAGAAUUUUAACAGAUUAUUAACAUGUUUUAACAUGGUUUUAGAAAUUUUAUAAGUGAAAUGUGUAUACAUUUUACAGAAUGUUCUUAUAUUGCUUUAUAAAAGACUCGCGGAACUCGGGUAUUUUUCUUGACUUUCCCAAUAGGCGCCUAUGACUUAAAGUAUUAUAACGUUGCCCAAAGAAAAUACCCAUUAUAUUAGUAUUUUGAGUAUUCAUGUGAAUAUACGAGUAUAAUCUGGCUCACGUUUUGUAUAGGUGCCCAUAAAUAAUGCGAUCACUAUCCGUUUUUAGUGUUUGUUAAGUAUGUCGAAUAAUAAUUUAAAAUAAAAAAAAGGUAUGUUUAUGUGUUAGUAUUAUUAACAAAUAAGACAGAGGACAUUUAGC